AUUCAAAUGAGUCGCGAACCCGGUUUGAAGUCCCGAACUGAUUCAAAUGUUUCGCGAACGCGAUACGAACCCCAGAACUGAUUCAAAUGAUAAUGUUAUUAUUUAGAUGUUGUUAUUUGUACAAAUUUAAAGGGUUUCCAAAAACACUGUGAAUGUAAACCGAGAAAACUGUCCCGCUCGCUCCGUACUCCCGAACUGACUCAAACGUUUCUGGAAAAAUGAGCGCCCGUCGCUUCUGUUAUGAGCGCCCAUACGGUGCGCCUACAUUUGAUAUAACGAACUUGAGAGUGCAGAAGACGUGAUAUGUGAACAGCCCCUUACUUAUAGCCUUGUUUGCUGCUCUUUAAUUUAAUUCUUUGUCAUUUAUGUGAAAUUAUGUACCACAACUUAACAGUUUUGAUGUAUGGAUUAUAUUUUUUUAUCUGUUGAACACCAAACAUAAACAAAAAGAAGUUUUAAACUCAUUAUUUUCAUUAAUUUUUAAAAAAGUAAACAAUUUGUUUGCAUUUGCGCAAGCAUAUUCACGCAGCGCUGUCUCGUGAGUGCAGAGGAAGGUUGUGAAUUCCAACGGUCGAGAAGAGAUUGAUCCCCGUCUGCUGAUUUAAAUUGAUGGUCUGACAGAAAUAUUGUUGUGCGGAUUUACACUAAAACACGAAAGAGCCUGAACCGCGACAGUGUCACAAGUUGCCUUACAUCCAUAAGUUUUGUUGUGCUUGUUGCAAACUGUUAAAUUAAGUGUUUUCCGAUCCUAAGCUUAGAAAAAAAGAUGCAAGACUUCAAACUUUCCAGUACUCCUGUGUACUGAUAAUCCGGGUUCCACCCAGUCCCAGGAGUUUUCAGGAGCACAUUACUGUGAUAAAUGCUGAGCUAUGUAAAAGACAACCUGACUACACCAACAAUCGAAUGAGAUGCGCUCUUUUUAAAAGAGUUGAUUUAAUGACAAAAUCAACAUGAGAGGUCAUGGACAUGUUCCCAUUUCUUCGGGUUCCACAAAUUCUGCUGCAUGAAGUGAAGAUGCGGUUUGGGAAGGACCUUCAUCUCAAUCUAGAGACUGCUCUUCAAGUUAAAUUAAAUUUAUGCAUUUAGCAGACGCGACUUACAGUGCAUUCAGGCUA